CAAGUACUUCCUCCGUCCGGAAUUACUUGUCAUCAAAAUGGAUGUGUCUAGAACUAAAAUACAUCUAGAUACAUCCAUUUCAAUGACAAGUAUUUUCGGACGGAGGGAGUACAAG
rnacentral:pre_miRNA from 1 species